CUGAUCAAACUGGGUAAUAAAGCCAUGAAUAGUGAGCCACGUAUGGAUUUGUCAAAAAUUUCAGUGAUUAUUCGAAUAAUGAGCCACGGAUAUGAUGUUCUUAUGAAGGAACUGCAGGAAAGAGAUUUUUUUUUUAAAAGUCU